CCUUUCUCCUUCCCGGGUCUGGUCCUUCUUACACAGCUUCCUCUACUGUUCCCCUACUCAUGUCCCUUCGCCCCUAAAUAAAUAGCCUGAACCAAAGUUUAACCAGUGCCCUCCGACCCACCCUUUCCGGACGGUUGGCCAGUUUUCCAGUUUGCCCCCUCCCAGAGCCAGGCGAUGUGUAGAUUCCUAGAAUAGAGAGGGUGGGCAGCAGCAUCCUCCCUGGCAAAGGCAAGCCGCAGUAGUUAAAGGGCGUGUGCGGAGUGGAGUUGGGGGGGGCGGCAGAAGGAGGGAGAGGGAGCCCUUUGGGUUUUAUUUUUGGAAAAGUAACCUAUCGAUCAGCCUUCCGCAGCCCAGCCUCCCUUCCCUUUAAAAUUUGGCCUUGGAGUGGUGCAAGCGAAGGACACUAGAUCAUCUGCAGGGAGGCUUCUUUUUACUGAAUCGUAUGUGUGUGCGUGUGCGCGCGUGUGUGCCCGCGCGUGUGUUGCUACUACCUCAAGGCUCUGGUCAAGAAACCCUGCCCAGGGUGUGGACGUGUGAAUUAGAGGGAAAGGCGGGAAGGGCCAGCUCCCACAUCUCGCUAGCGCUGGCCCCCGAGGUCAAAAGCUACACGUGCGUGCCGAUGUGGGUUUGUAUAUCUAGAUAUGUAUUCCAUGUAACAUCUUUUCUUCUUCCCCCGGGGCCUUGGGACAGUGGCUCAGUGCUGAGGAGGGGCGGUGGCGCGCAUGCGCUCAGGUCCGUCCGUCCCGGGGGCACUUUGGGAGUCGUAGUCUCAUGUGCUUUGCAGCAGCUCGAGGAGGAGGAGGAGGAGGAGGAGGAGGGAAAAGAAGGUCGAAGCGUGCUAGCAGCCCUUGGCUGAGGUCCAGCAGCUCCCGGAGCAGCAGUAGCGGCAGCGGCGGCAGACACGGCGGCGGCGGCGGCUCCUGCACCCUCGCUACCGGGCAGGGACCAGACACAGUAGUAGCUUCCUCCCACCCCAUCAUGCCGGCCUCCCCCCCUCCCCUCAGCCCUAGGGCCAGAAGAGCGAGAAAGCAUGCCUGCGGUAAAGGGGACCACUCAGAACUGUCCUCAAGAAAGGGAUUUUCAGGUUUGAACUCUUUCCCCCCCCCUUUUCUUCUCAAAAUGGCCCUGUGCGUGUGGUAUGUAUGUGGAGGGGGGGGCAUUCUUCUCAAUCUGGACGUUCCUUUUCAGGAAACUUUUCAAGAUCCGGAGACCAGUAGCCGUGUACCCAUUCUUCUCAAGCCUCAGGUAAGGGAAGCCUGGGGGUUUAAGAGAAAAGAACAGAAGCAAGAACUCUGACAACUUCUUUUCCUCACGGUGGCAGACCAGUUUGCCCCCCCACCCCCCCACCAUUGCAGAAAACCUUGAAGAUGGUAGGUAUGAUACCGUAUCCUUUAAAUAAAUGAUUUUUUAGAAUUAGUCACGUUAGAAUGAAAUCAUUAAUCUGAGAUCCUGAUUAGAAAAUAUUCCCCUGAGAGGCAUGGUGCUAAAGAGGUUUUUUUUUUUAUUAAAGUAGCUGGCCCUUAAGUAAGUAUAGGGUGGAUUAUGACCAAAUAAGUAUGAUUUGGGUGGAUUAUGCCCAAAUAAGUGUGACUUAAGUCUUUGGAAAUGAGAGAAGGCCGGCUUGUCGAAUACGAUGAUAUCCAAGAAGGGCUAAUGGGAAAAGAUGAAUCCAUAAAUUGUUUAAACUGAGCUAGGUAAAGUGCUUAAUGCAGCUCUGUGAAAUACAUCAAUGUGGCAUUGUACAGCCAGUGAAGAGCAUUCUAGACCCGAGCUUCAAAAAGUAAAUAAAUUGAGACUUUCCCCAGCUCUUUAGGGGGCAUGGGGUGGGUAUAGCAAUGAUUUCUGGGCAAAGAAUUUCUAUAUUGAACUUUUCUGAAGUGAUUUGGCUGUAUCUCUUUUGGGGUGGCUAUUGAGAUUUACUUAGCACUUGUAAGCAGUAAAGUUGGGACUAAGUUUAUGAGGAACAGGUCAAAAUCAUGUAGGCUUGAAACUAGCAAGUGACUUAAAUCAAGAAUGCAAUAACUCGAUCCCUUCAUGUUCUCAUGGUUUAAAUAAAUUUGCAGGCGUAACUUGGAAUCUGUAAAAGUAAAAAUUCUUGGUGCUUGAGUAAGCUGGUGCAUUUUGAUUUGGGGGCAUUUUUUUUUACUAGUGGAUGUUUUUCUGCUUUAUCUCUAGGUCAUUUGAAGAAUUGAAAGGGAGAAGAGCCAGGGCUUGAGGCCGACCUACGGCUUUGCUGGAGGCCGUGCCUCGGUUGUGUAAAAGUGCUUAUAGUGCAGGUGCUGCAGUGUGGAGGCUGGUCCCAGGUCCUGGUAGUGCCAAAGUGCUCAUAGUGCAGGUAGUUUUUUGCAAAUGACUACUGUACUAUGGGCACUUCAGCGCUCCUGGGUAAUGUAUCACUGGGGGGUGGAGGGGGGGUGGGGGCAGAUGGAACAGUCACAGGACCUAGCUUUAAUCCCAGUGCUGCUCACAGUCAGUUUUGCAGGUCUUGCAUCGGCCUAUGUCAAUUGCUGUGCAAAUCCAUGCAAAACUGAUUAGGAGGGCAUUUGCAUCUGCACUUUUGGACCGGCCUUCCCCGCCUUGAGUGAGCUGAGCUCUCGAAGAUUGUCUUUGGCUGAUUUCUCUGCGGGUGGGGAUUUGUUGCAUUACUUGAUCAUGUGACUAUAAGAGUAUUGCACUUGUCCCGGCCUGUGGAGGAAAAGAGGACUUUUCAUCUGUUCCUGUAAGGACUGAGAGGGGCCGUUCUAGCUGUUUUGCUGUUGUCGGGUGGAUCACGAUGCAAUUUUGAUAAGUUUAAUAGGAGAAAAAUUGCACGGUAUCCAUCUGUAAACCGCAAGACCUUAUGCAGUGGCAGCUUGGGUGGGGAAAGAGCGGGCAUGGCUGGGCUGGGCUGGGCUGGGCUGGGGUGAGGCGCGAUCUGCUUGGGAUUCGUCUCCCAAGCACGGGAGAAAGGUUGGUUUUUAACCUAAAAUACUUCUGUGCAUUUUUUGAGAAAGGGGUUAAUCUUGUGAAUGGUUGGAUUGGCUCACCUUGACUUGAAGCACAAUGUACCGAAUUAACUAUCCACUAAUGUUUCCAUUUAGUUUGACCCUUGAAUGAGAUACAAAAGGGCUACAUUUCAGCAUUUCUGCUCAGGGUUGGUACACAAUCAUAAAGUUAUCUUAUCUUCUGGAGCCCGCUCCCCAAGGGAAACAACUCAUUGUUCUUUUGCUUUGUUGAAUGUUGCCUCCGAAGUUGAGCUGUGGUUAAAGGUGUGAUCCUGGCAAAUGUAUGUAUUUGUUCAUUUAAACACAGAAGGAAAUAAAUGACGGUUCAUUUUGCUAGUAUUGUGCUUCCCAUUUUGCAGAUGAAGAGACUGACAGACAUUAGGAUUCCAGAUUAAAUGAUUUGAUGUCCUUGCUCUUUUAAGGCAGCCGUGGCUGAAAAGCAGUCCGAAGACGGAGGGAGAAGUUGGUUAACUUCAUCUGGCCCACCUGGAAGAGACGGCGGCGGGCGGGCUACUUGCUUUUGGUCUUUGACUCCCCUGCUUGAAAAUUAGAUUGUAGGUCUCCACCUAAAUUCAGGUUCCUAAAGCUGUGAAAGAAUAGCAACUUAUUCCCUAGUGUGGAACACUGUAGUGUCUGUAAUGAGCCUUGUGAAUGAGAAAGAGGCGGGAGCCCUCUCCCCGCGCUUUGGAGUUUGGGGAGGACCCGAGUUCUCGAGUCCCACUAGCUAGCUAGCCCUAAACUAGAACCAAGAUUGUAAAGUAGACAUAGUGAUUUCCCAACUGAGUUCUCUUUGCUGGGCUGGGAAGGCUUUGGAAAUGUAAACUAAAGAAAUGUAAAUUACUAUGUUCAACUUCCUGUUGUACUGAAGUCUCAGGAAUUCUUUGUGCCCUACCCCCACACUUGGAUUUUUGUAUGUUAUCUCUUCUCCCACCCCCACCCCUGCUAGAUGGAAGCUCCUUGAGGGGCAGGAAUUGGCCUUUUGUCUUGGUAUCCUCUGCCCCUGCCACAUAAGUAGGCUGGCUUAAUAAAAUUUGUUGGAUUAAA